rnacentral:rRNA from 1 species
CGCGGCCUAUCAGCUUGUUGGUGAGGUAACGGCCCACCAAGGCGACGACGGGUAGCUGGUCUGAGAGGACGACUAGCCACACUGGAACUGAGAUACGGUCCAGACUCCUACGGGAGGCAGCAGUGGGGAAUAUUGCACAAUGGGCGAAAGCCUGAUGCAGCGACGCCGCGUGAGGGAUGAAGGCCUUCGGGUUGUAAACCUCUUUCGGCAGGGACGAAGCGAUCAGUGACGGUACCUGCAGAAGAAGCCCCGGCUAACUACGUGCCAGCAGCCGCGGUAAGACGUAGGGGGCGAGCGUUGUCCGGAUUCAUUGGGCGUAAAGCGCGCGUAGGCGGCUGCGCAAGUCGGGUGUGAAACCCCGGGGCUCAACCCCGGAACUGCAUCCGAUACUGCGUGGCUAGAGGUAGGUAGGGGAGAUCGGAAUUCCUGGUGUAGCGGUGAAAUGCGCAGAUAUCAGGAGGAACACCGGUGGCGAAGGCGGAUCUCUGGGCCUUACCUGACGCUCAGGCGCGAAAGCUAGGGGAGCGAACAGGAUUAGAUACCCUGGUAGUCCUAGCCGUAAACGUUGGGUGCUAGGUGUGGGCGGAUAUCGACCCCGUCCGUGCCGAAGCUAACGCAUUAAGCACCCCGCCUGGGGAGUACGG